rnacentral:rRNA from 1 species
CUGGUCCCAUUCCGAACCCAGAAGCUAAGACUCUUCGCGCCGAUGGUACUGCACUUUUGUGGGUGUGGGAGAGUAGGUCGUUGCCGGUU